UGUAUAGUUGUGUGUAGUUGUGUGUAUAGUUGUGUGUAUAGUUGUGUGUACAGUUGUGUAUAGUUUUGUGUGUAGUUGUGUGUAUAGUUGUGUGUACAGUUGUGUGUAUAGUUGUGUAUAGUUGUGUGUAUUGUUGUGUAUAGUUGUGUGUAGUUGUGUGUAGUUGUGUGUAUAGUUGUGUGUACAGUGUGUAUAGUUGUGUGUAUAGUUGUGUGUAGUUGUGUGUAUAGUUGUGUGUAUUGUGUGUAUAGUUGUGUGUAUAGUUGUGUGUAUAGUUGUGUGUAUUGUGUGUAGUUGUGUGUAUAGUUGUGUGUACAGUGUGUAUAGUUGUGUGUAUUGUGUGUAUAGUUGUGUGUACAGUUG